rnacentral:rRNA from 1 species
GACGAACUGCCCAAACGUUGUUGGAAUCACUGGGCUUAAAGGGCGCGUAGGCGGCAGAUCAAGUCAGGGGUGAAAUCCGGCAGCUCGACUGUCGAAGUGCCUUUGAUACUGAUUUGCUCGAGGGAUAUAGGGGUCUGUGGAACUUCUGGUGGAGCGGUGAAAUGCGUUGAUAUCAGAAGGAACGCCGGUGGCGAAAGCGACGGACUGGAUAUCUUCUGACGCUGAGGCGCGAAAGCUAGGGGAGCAAACGGG